UACGUAGGGGGCUAGCGUUGUCCGGAAUCAUUGGGCGUAAAGAGCGUGUAGGCGGUCCGGUAAGUCCGCUGUGAAAGUCGGGGGCUCAACCCUCGAAUGCCGGUGGAUACUGUCGGGCUAGAGUGCGGAAGAGGCGAGUGGAAUUCCUGGUGUAGCGGUGAAAUGCGCAGAUAUCAGGAGGAACACCUAUUGCGAAGGCAGCUCGCUGGGACGUUACUGACGCUGAGACGCGAAAGCGUGGGAGCGAACAGG
rnacentral:rRNA from 1 species